rnacentral:rRNA from 1 species
GGGGCGCAGCAGGUGCGAAACCUCCACNAUGUACGAAAGUGCGAUGGGGGAAUCCUAAGUGCUGGCGCAAUGCGUCAGCUUUUCUCGAGUCUAAAUCGCUUGAGGAAUAAGUGGUGGGUAAGACCGCUGCCAGCCGCCGCGGUAAUAGCGGCGCCACAAGUGGCAUCCAUUUAUAUUGGGUUUAAAGCAUCCGUAGCCGGCCUGAUAAGUCUACUGUGAAAUCCUAUAGAAAACUAUAGGGCGCGCGGUAGAAACUAUUACGGCUUGGGACCAGGAGAGGUCAGAGGUACUCCUAGGGUAGCGGUAAAAUGCUGUAAUCCUAGGGGGACCACCUGUGGCGAAGGCGUCUGACUGGAAUGGAUCCGACGGUGAGGGAUGAAAGCUAGGGGAGCGACCCGGAUUAGAUACCCGGUUAGUCCUAGCUGUAAACGAUGCUCACUUGGUAUUGGAAAUCUUUCGUGGAUUUCCAGUGCCGAAGGGAAACCGUUAAGUGAGCCACCUGGGGAGUACGGUCGCAAGGCUGAAACUUAAAGGAACUUGGCGGGGGAGCA